GUUCAGUCUAUGUCCUGUGUCUGCUCUCCUCUCCUCCCUCCUCUCCACUUUCUGUGUCUACUCCUUCUGCAGAACAACAGCUGCAUCUGAGACUCAGGUUCCUCUGAACAGGACGACCACCAGGGGAAGUGAGAGAAGAGAGAAGGAGGAAGGAGAUCUGUGUUAUGCCUCGUUGGAUAUCCGUCAGGGACAGAGGAGACCAAAGAAGAAGAAGAGAGUCCAGAACUCUGACUUCAGUACCUACACAGCCAUCAAUACCAGCAGAGUGUGAGACCUAUACCAGCCAUCAAUACCAGCAGAGUGUGAGACCUAUACCAGCCA